UACGAGGGGUGCAAGCGUUGCUCGGAAUUAUUGGGCGUAAAGGGCAAGUAGGUGGUCUCAUUUGUCUGGGGUGAAAGCCUUGAGCUUAACUCAAGAAGUGCCCCGGAAACGGUGAGACUCGAGUACUGGAGAGGGUCGUGGAAUUCCCGGUGUAGCGGUGAAAUGCGUAGAGAUCGGGAGGAACACCAGAGGCGAAGGCGGCGACCUGGACAGUUACUGACACUCAACUGCGAAAGCGUGGGGAGCAAACAGG
rnacentral:rRNA from 1 species